rnacentral:rRNA from 1 species
AAUCAACGCUGGCGGCGUGCCUCAGACAUGCAAGUCGAACGAUUAAAGCUCUCUUCGGAGAGUGUAUAGAGUGGCGCACGGGUGAGUAACACGUAAGUAAUCUACCUUUGAGUGGGGAAUAACAAUCGGAAACGAUUGCUAAUACCGCAUAAUGCAGCGGCAUCGCAAGAUGACAGUUGUUAAAGGAGCAAUCCGCUUAAAGAGGAGCUUGCGGCAGAUUAGCUAGUUGGUAAGGUAAUAGGCUUACCAAGGCUACGAUCUGUAUCCGGUCUAAGAGGACGGUCGGACACACUGACACUGAAUAACGGGUCAGACUCCUACGGAGGCAGCAGUCGGGAAUUUUGGGUCAAUGGGCGAAAGCCUGACCCCAGCAACGCCGCGUGAAGGAUGAAGUAUUUCGGUAUGUAAACUUCGAAAGAAUAGGAAGAAUAAAUGACGGUACUAUUUA